rnacentral:tRNA from 1 species
UGGGAUGUCGUCUAAUGGUAGGACAGCGGACUCUGGAUCCGUAUGUGGGGGUUCAAAUCCUCCCAUCCCAGCCA